UCUCCACAACCGUUUUAAUAUCAAAGUUUAACAAAAAUCAUAAAAAUUACGGUAUUUUAUAAUAUGUUUUACUGAACUUCGCUUGGAGUCGUAUUUCGUUAGCGAUGUUUUAUAUUUGCGUACAUACAUCAAUUAAGUAACUUUAUGUAUCCUACCUACCCGACUUCCCAUCUAAAACAGUGGCUGCACCCGUCUCCAUAAUAGCUUUUUUGUUUUUUUGCUUUUAAUGAGCUUUAUUGUAUAC